CCCUUAGACGUUCUGGGCCGCACGCGUGCUACACUGACGAAGGCAACGAGCUUUCCUUUACCGAAAGGUACGGGUAAUCUUUUGAAACUUCGUCGUGCUGGGGAUAGAUCCUUGCAAUUAUUGAUCUUAAACGAGGAAUUCCUAGUAAGCGCAAGUCAUCAACUUGCGUUGAUUACGUCCCUGCCCUUUGUACACACCGCCCGUCGCUACUACCGAUUGAAUGGUUUAGUGAGGCCUUCGGAUCCGCGACUCGUUUUGUGGAGAAGUUGGACAAACUCAGUCAUUUAGAGGAAGUAAAAGUCGUAACA
rnacentral:rRNA from 1 species